CCUACGGGGGGCUGCAGUCGAGGAUCUUCGGCAAUGGGCGCAAGCCUGACCGAGCGACGCCGCGUGAGCGAUGAAGGCCUUCGGGUCGUAAAGCUCUGUCGAGGGGGAGACGACCCCUGGAGGAAGCACGGGCUAAGUUCGUGCCAGCAGCCGCGGUAAGACGAACCGUGCGAACGUUAUUCGGAAUCACUGGGCUUAAAGGGCGCGUAGGCGGGCCGGAAAGUCAGGGGUGAAAUCCUCCAGCCCAACUGGAGAAGCGCCUUUGGUACUGCCGGCCUCGAGGGGUGCAGGGGCAUGCGGAACUCAGGGUGGAGCGGUGAAAUGCGUAGAUAUCCUGAGGAACACCGGUGGCGAAAGCGGCGUGCUGAACCUUCUGACGCUGAGGCGCGAAAGCCAGGGGAGCGAACGGGAUUAGAUACCCUUGUAGUC
rnacentral:rRNA from 1 species